AUAUAUACUUUUUUAAGAGAAAGGUAGGAUGUAGCUCACUUCAUUCUUUUUUUUUAAAAAAAUGUAUUAGUUGAAAAUAUGAAGCAAUUAGACUUUAAACUUAGGACCUCGAAUACCAACUAUCAAACCCAUCAAAUCCUUUACCACCUGCACUAGGGACAGUGGUCAAUUAUUUUGCAAGGAAUAACAUAAAAUGUAAUAAUUUGACCCACUAGCAAUAAUAACUUAUUAGACUCAAACCACCAAUACAAAAUACUUAAACCCAAUUAUUAUUAUUAAAGUCUAUUAUCAUACUCCGAAACUGACAAUUGGUGCCGCUCAAGCACGUGCAACAAAUCGUUGAACGGGCAAGAUUUCUCCUAUCCACACGAAGCGGAGCAUAUACCAAUUUGUACAAAUAUAUAUGAUAUGGAUAUGUGAAGCAUUAGAGUGUAAUACUACUAAAUUAAACCAUUACAAUCUCAAUUUUUUAAAGUUAUAGCAUCUUAAACCAUUCUAAAAUAUAACAAUUUUUAUUAUUCUUGUAAGGAUACACUAUAAACCUCUCACUUAGUCUAAACCACUCCACGACACUGUUGCUGUAGUAUUGCGCCUCACCGGUGGUGGUAGAAUCUAAAAAAGUGUAAACAACAUAGAGGUGAGAAUUUCAAAUAAAUUUUUUGUAUAUACAACCAUCGAAAGUGACGUUCUAUACUCACUCGGUUCAAAGAAGGCAUUACUAACAACUAAUAAUAAAUAAUAACUAUUACUAUAAUAGAAAUGUAAUAAGUACGAAAUAUCUACAAUGCCUCAAGUAUACACAAUAUGUUAUAAUGAGUUACUAGUGAAGUUACUCGCGCAUUGUGGCAGGCUAAUAUUAUAAAAAAGAUAAAAAAUUGAUGGAAGUAAUAUUUUUAAAAUUUUUUAAGUUGCAAUGAGACAUUAAUAAAUACAAAUAGUAUGAGAAAAAAAAGAAUGAAGAGAUAUUAUUUUACUCAUUUUUUCUUGUGAAAAUAAUUUGUUCAGAUGACAAUAGACUAUUUGAAUACAUUAAUUAAAAAAUUGAGCGAGUGAGAAGACAAAACAUCAGGCGGAAAUAGGAGUUGGGAAGGUGAAGCACCAUGGAAUGGAAAAGGGGGAGAAGCCAAGGGUGAAGGAGGAAUUAUCAUGUGGCAAAUCUAUGGAAAAUAAUAUAUAGGUAUAGAUUUUGUCAUUGACUACAUAGAUACCAAAUUUGUCUCAUGUCUUUAACCAAUCAUUUUUUUGUUUCAUUUCACACUGUGCAUUACGUGGAGUGUCGAGGUAAUCGAUAUCUCUCCAAUUGGUGGGCACUUAGUGUUAAGGGAGAUCGGCAUUACCAAGCACAGUAGUCACUUUGAGUCGAGGGCGAUCUACAUCUUCUAGUACUAUAUAGAGAGUCGAGGGUGGUCUAAUCUCCUUUUUUUACCAUUUUAGAAUGUCUCAACCUAUGUCAAUAUCACACUCUACGUUCAUGACUUUUAGAAUUGUUUACCAUGUCUAUUACACAUACACUUCUUUUCUAACUCAAGUUUAGCCUAAAAUGUACAUGUCAUUAUGCUCACACCUUAUAUUUAUAUCUAGGUUGAUUGCCACACUUAUUCAUCUAUAUUCCAAGAUCCUCAUAGUACCCUAAUUACAUAUUCAUAUACUUGUGCACUUAUACUUUUAUGUCUCACCAGUGUAGUAACCGCGCUAUACAAAUGUGUAGAUAAUUGGAGGAAAAUAAAAAAUGUUAAUGAGAUAUAUUUUGGCAAAUUCUUAAACAAAUACAUAAGAAUGUUUAAAAUUUCAUUAGCACAAAUUUGCAUUAGAACUUACAAUAGCACGGAAUCAAGGCAACAGCAAACAAACGUAAAACAACCUAUUCUAAAUGACCAUUACUUUCGUGAGAGCAAAAAUUACGUUAAUUAAAUAGAAAAAAUAGUUAAUGCGGGAUAAAUCUUCUUAGGAGCGUAGAGUUGCAUUAGGGCAUAUAGUCGCACGGAAGCAAGGCAACAACAAACAAACUGUAGAACAACUAUUUCAAAUCGCCGUCACUAUCUUGAGAAAAAAAAAACUGUGUUAAUUAAAAAGAAAAAAAGGUUAUUGUUGAAUAGGAUCACAGGCAAAUAAAAUCGAAAAAGAAAAAUAGUAAAAAAACUUUAUGACUUACAGUCGAAAAAGGAUUGGAUUAUCAGAUGUAGAGAAAAUGGAUGUUAGAGAUGUUAUUAUAUAGCUGAAUGGACAGUCGUAAGGGUAUAGGAAGCGACCUUGAAAAAUGCUUCGUUCAUGGUGGAUUAAUCCAGUACUGAAAAUAGCGUCGAAGGAAGAGGAAACGAUAAUGGAAGAAGUGGCAGGAAAGGAAGAAAUCCAUUGUGCCGUAAAUUCUAUUUGGAGGACGCUUCGAUUCCAGCACAAAAAACGACAACACAAAAGGAAACAACAAUGGAAAACGUGGCGAUAACAGAAGGUAUACCCAUCGUGCCCUAAGGACGCUUCGAUUCGACGAAGAAAGGUAACAACCGAAGGAAACAGAAGAGGAAAAAUAUAUCAGUGAUUCGGUCCUAUGCAAGAGGUGUGAACUGGUUCGAUUCAAGCAAAGAAAGAGGAAAACCCACUUCGUUUCAAGCAAAACAAAAGGAAAAUAUAUGGAGAACUUGAGCUAGUUCAGAGUGGAGCCACAUUCAAUAAUGAUCGGUUUAAGCAAAGAAAGAUAAAAAUAUAUGAAAUAGUUGGGCCGGUUUGGCCCAAUACAGCAUGUGUGACCAGAUCCGAUUCAAGCCGGUGUGACUAGGUCAAAGAGGAAAACCCAGUUUUGUUCAAAUAAAAAAAAGAGAAAAAUAUGUGGAGGACUUAGCCGGUUCGGGGUAGAGCCCACACUCAAUAACGAAAAGAAUGUUGUCACAUGGCAAAUUUAUGAGAAAUAAUAUGUGGGUAUAGAUAUUACAUUUAGUAUUUAAAAAGUUCAAAAACCCCAAUUUACUCUAAGUUAAAUAUUCAUAGAUCAUCUAGACCCACUAUAUCUUGUAGCAUGCAAUUAAAAUACAUUUAGUUUACUCGUUAUCCAUAAUACGUGCAUACAAUUAAAAAAAACUAUAGAAAAAUGGGAGAUCAAAAGCAUUUCGAUGAUAUUCCCAUACAUUUUUUUAGAUCUUUCUCAAGAUGCCCCUUGAUCUCUCAAGAAUAUCAAGAAAACCUUAAAAAUAGUUCUAAUAAUAUUAGAAUCUUAAAAAUCUUUUUUUGGAGAAAAACUCCCAAAACAAAAUCUAAAAAUACCAAUUCAUCUCUUCUUCUUCGAAUGGGAAAAGUAUAGAUUAAGGUGGUUGUCUUCUUCCUCCAAAUGCUUCUCCUUGAUGCCUUAAAUCUCAUCCAAACCUUCAAAGAGAUAGAUCCAAGAGAUCCUACAAGUGGACAAAGUUAGGGUUUUCCACUUUUAGAGAGAGAAAGAAGAGAGAGAUAGAGA
rnacentral:lncRNA from 1 species